rnacentral:rRNA from 1 species
UACGUAGGUGGCAAGCGUUGUCCGGAUUUAUUGGGUUUAAAGGGUGCGUAGGCGGCUUAUUAAGUCAGUGGUGAAAUACUCUAGCUCAACUAGAGGGGUGCCAUUGAUACUGAUGAGCUUGAGGACGGGAGGGGUGAGUGGAACUCUUGGUGUAGCGGUGAAAUGCGUAGAUAUCAAGAGGAACGCCGGUGGCGAAAGCGACUCACUGGACCGCUCCUGACACUGAGGUGCGAGAGCUAGGGGAGCAAACAGG